rnacentral:rRNA from 1 species
AUUGAACGCUGGCGGCAGGCCUAACACAUGCAAGUCGAGCGGAGCGGCGGACGGGUGAGUAAUGCCUAUGGAUCUGCUAGGUAGUGGGGGAUGACGUCCGGUAACGGGCGGUACUACCGCAUCCUUUCAGAUGAGCAUAGGUAGGAUUAGCUAGUUGGUGGGGUAAAGGCCUACCAAGGCGACGAUCCGUACCUGGUCUGAGAGGAUGAUCAGUCACACUGGAACUGAGACACGGCCCAGACUCCUACGGGAGGCAGCAGUGGGGAAUAUUCGGCAAUGGACGAAAGUCUGAUCCAGCAAUGCCGCGUGUGUGAAGAAGGUUUUCGGAUUGUAAAGCGCUUUAGUUAGGGAGGCGUUACCAACAGAGUAAGCACCGGCUAACUACGUGCCAGCAGCCGCGGUAAUAC